GCAAGAUACCACGGGCGCACGGCGGAUGCCUUGGCACAGGGAGCCGAUGAAGGACGCGGCAAGCUGCGAUAAUCCCCGGCGAGGAGCACACAUCCUUCGACCCGGGGGUCUCCGAAUGGGCGAACCCAUCCGUAGCAGUACGGAUAUCCCCCCGCUGAACACAUAGGCGGGGGGAGGACAACCCGGGGAACUGAAACAUCUAAGUACCCGGAGGAGAGGAAAUCAAUCUCGAGACUCCCCGAGUAGCGGCGAGCGAAAGGGGACCGAUGGCCAAACCGUCGAGCGGGCAUACCCGGCAGGGGUUCCGCCGACGGGGUUGCAGGGCCGCGCAUCCGGGGGCUGCCGCCCCCGGGCGCAGGUCCGGCUGGGGAGCGGAACGGCAUGGGAGGGCCGGCCGCAGCGGGUGACAGCCCCGUACGCGAACCCAGACCGGACGGCGCGACGCGGUCCCUGAGUAGGGCCGGGCACGUGAAACCCGGUCCGAACCUGGGUGGACCACCAUCCAAGCCUGAGUACUACCCUGUGACCGAUAGCGCACCAGUACCGUGAGGGAAAGGUGAAAAGCACCCCGGGAGGGGAGUGAAACAGUACCUGAAACCGUGCGCCCACGAGCAGUCGGAGCACCUUUAUGGUGUGACGGCGUGCCUUUUGUAGAAUGAGCCAGCGAGUCGCUGGCGCGGGGCGAGGUUAACCGAAAGGGAGCCGGAGCGAAAGCGAGCCUUAACAGGGCGACUUGAGUCCCGCGCCGCGGACGCGAAGCCGGGUGAGCUAUCCGUGGGCAGGCUGAAGCGGGGGUAAGACCCCGUGGAGGGCCGAACGCACGUCGGUUGAAAACGGCGGCGAUGACCUGCGGAUAGGGGUGAAAGGCCAAUCAAACCCGGAGAUAUCUCGUUCUCCCCGAAAUAGCUUUAGGGCUAGCGUCGCGCGUUCACCGCCGGAGGUAGAGCACCGGAUGGACGAGGGGGCUUCGCCGCCUACCGAAUCCAACCGAACUCCGAAUGCCGGCGGCCCAGAGCGCGGCAGUCAGAGCAUGUGGGCUAAGCUGUGUGCUCGAGAGGGAAACAGCCCGGACCGCCCGCUAAGGUCCCCAAGUUCCAGCCGAGUGGCAAAGGAUGUGCGUCCGCCCAGACAACCAGGAUGUUGGCUUAGAAGCAGCCAUACAUUCAAAGAGUGCGUAACAGCUCACUGGUCGAGUGGACAUGCGCCGACAAUACACGGGGCUAAGCUGGACACCGAAGCGGCGGGAUUUUAAUUCAUUAGAAUCGGUAGGGGAGCUUCCCAUGGGCGGAGAAGCCGGAGGGCGACCGACGGUGGAGCGCAUGGGAGUGAGAAUGCUGGCAUGAGUAGCGAGAGACGAGAGAGUAACUCGUCCGCCGUGAACCCGAGGUUUCCUGGGCAAGGCUAAUCCUCCCAGGGUCAGUCGGGGGCUAAGGCGAGGCCGGGAGGCGUAGCCGACGCGCAGCAGGCAGACAUUCCUGCACCGCGCACGCGGCGCUACGACCGACGGGGCGACGGAUGGGGGUGGCUCGGCGGGGUUCUGGACGUCCCCGUGAUGGAGCGCGGCCCGCGGACCAGGGAAAUCCGGUCCGCAGAAGGGCGAGGCUCCGGACGAAGCACUUAAGCGAAGCGAGUGAGCCCGAGGUCCCUAGAAAAACCCCUAGGCAGGCGCGUGCGCGCCCGUACCGCAAACCGACACAGGUGGGUGGGUAGAACAUACCGAGGCGAUCGGGUCAACCAUGGUCAAGGAACUCGGCACAAUGGCCCCGUAACUUCGGGAGAAGGGGUGCCCGCGCGUACGUGAACCGGCUUGCCCGGGGAGCGGAGGCGGGCCGCAGUGGAGAGGCCCAAGCGACUGUUUACCAAAAACACAGGACUCUGCAGAAGCCGCAAGGCGACGUAUAGGGUCUGACGCCUGCCCGGUGCCGGAAGGUCACGCGGAGGAGUUAGCCGCAAGGCGAAGCCCCGAAGCCAAGCCCCGGUAAACGGCGGCCGUAACUAUAACGGUCCUAAGGUAGCGAAAUUCCUUGUCGGGU
rnacentral:rRNA from 1 species